rnacentral:rRNA from 1 species
UACGGGGGGAGCAAGCGUUGUCCGGAAUUACUGGGCGUAAAGGGCUCGUAGGCGGCCACUAAGUCGGAUGUGAAAUCCCCAGCGUUAACCUGGGAACUGCAUCCGAUACUGGAUGGCUUGAAUCCGGGAGAGGGAUGCAGAAUUCCGAGGUGUAGCGGUGAAAUGCGUAGAUAUCAGGAAGAACACCGGUGGCGAAAGCGCUCUGCUAGGCCGCAACUGACACUGAGGGACGAAAGCUAGGGGAGCGAAUGGG